UACGUAGGGUGCAAGCGUUGUCCGGAAUUACUGGGCUUAAAGAGUUCGUAGGCGGCAUUGCAAGUAGGGUGUGAAAGCCCUCGGCUCAACCGAGGAAUUGCGCUCUAAACUGCAGUGCUUGAGGAACCUAGAGGUGAGCAGAACAGAUGGUGGAGCGGUGAGAUGCGUUGAUAUCAUCUGGAAUACCGGAGGCGAAGGCGGCUCACUGGGAGUUUUCUGACGCUGAGGAACGAAAGCCAGGGUAGCGAACGGG
rnacentral:rRNA from 1 species